CUUCCUGGAAGACAUAUAAGGUGAAUGGAGCCACGGCAGAUGGGCAUCUUUGGAGAGGCAGAGGGGAGAGGGAGUUUUCUGGGCCCUGGGAAAUGAUUGGGCACAUCUUCAAAGUGGAACAGAGAGGCAUGUGGCCAAGGCUGGCUGAGACCUUAAGGGCCCUGAGCUCUGAGAAGAUGCUUGUUCCCACCCUGCAUAACUCAGGAUAAAGUUUACUUUCCAUAGCAACACUAAGCUUCCUUGUAUGUUGAAAUUAAAUUAGCCCCUUUCUAGUUUCUGGAUUGCAAAACUGGAUAAGUGCACAGAGGCAGAACUUGUCUCAUUUGGGGAGCCGUGUUGUGUUAGAGCCUGCGCCGUGGGCUCGCUCUACCUCGUGGAUCACGUAUGGGCACUCGGAAAACCUGGAAGCGAGGCAGCGUUCACCAUGAUGCAGUGAGGAGCCCAAGGCCCUGAGAGGUCAUAUGACUCACUCAAGGUCGUCCUGCCGUAGCAGAGAUGCGAUGAAGCCCUGCCUUUGGCUGAGGGAGUUCAAACGGACUUCCGCCCACGCCUGCUCCCCGCAUCGGCCUGUCAGAUGCCCACCUCAGAGGCCUGGUGGAGGCCGCGACCCCUGGAGGCUGGACCUUCCGAGGAGGCUCUGACCACCUUCACCAGGAAAGAAAGUUGAUGGGUGCCAUGAUGGAUGCUGUCCUGUCUUUAACUGAUUCCAUCCCGACAAUCACCUGAAGAGGAUCAGAGAGGUUUUAUAUCCAACCCCAUAUCACACAGCUACCGAGUGGUGAGACAGAUGUGAAACCCAUAUGUAUCCAUUUCUAGUUCUCAGCCUCUUUCUACAUCCUUAUGAAAACUCUUAAAUACGAAGUGCUAA